GGAGGUAUGGCUCAGUGGUAGAGCUAGUGCUUGGCAUGCAUGAGGUCCUGGGUUCAAUCCCCAGUGCCUUCU
rfam:Camelus ferus unplaced genomic scaffold scaffold997, whole genome shotgun sequence.